GAUGAACGCUGGCGGUGUGCCUAAUACAUGCAAGUCGAGCGAACAGACGAGGAGCUUGCUCCUCUGACGUUAGCGGCGGACGGGUGAGUAACACGUGGAUAACCUACCUAUAAGACUGGGAUAACUUCGGGAAACCGGAGCUAAUACCGGAUAAUAUAUUGAACCGCAUGGUUCAGUAGUGAAAGACGGUUUUGCUGUCACUUAUAGAUGGAUCCGCGCCGCAUUAGCUAGUUGGUAAGGUAACGGCUUACCAAGGCAACGAUGCGUAGCCGACCUGAGAGGGUGAUCGGCCACACUGGAACUGAGACACGGUCCAGACUCCUACGGGAGGCAGCAGUAGGGAAUCUUCCGCAAUGGGCGAAAGCCUGACGGAGCAACGCCGCGUGAGUGAUGAAGGUCUUCGGAUCGUAAAACUCUGUUAUUAGGGAAGAACAAAUGUGUAAGUAACUAUGCACGUCUUGACGGUACCUAAUCAGAAAGCCACGGCUAACUACGUG
rnacentral:rRNA from 1 species